rnacentral:pre_miRNA from 1 species
AAAAAGACAAACCCUAGGUUUCUGUGUCCAACGUUUGAUUGUCCGUCUUAUAUGAAUUUUUUUUUAUAAUUACUAUUUUCAUUGUUGUUAGAUGAUAAAACAUGAUUAAUACUUUAUGCGUGACUUGUCUUUUUAAUUUUUUCAAAUAAGACGGACGGUUAAACGUUGGAUACGAAAACCCAGGGUUUGUCUUUUU